UAAAGAAUGAAGCCUUUAACUCUAUGAACCAGUCCAAGCUAUUAACAGAGCUUCAUGUUGCUCAGCAAGAACCACAUAAUGGGUUUUCUUCAGUUGACAAAAGGGAUAAGAACGAUUUCACAUAAAGUAAAAUGGCAGCUGAAUGAUUUCUAAAGUGAUAAAAAGAUGCGAGAGCUUAUGCAUACAAUGCAAAACCAUCUGAGAUGUCCUUUGUCUAAGCAUGCAAAGAAGGCAUUACAGCUUCCUGCUUUAGCACCUUCAUGUGGUUUAAUUCACAAAAUUCUGCCUAAAUUGAUAUUCAACUGAAAGUCAAUACUGUUUUCAUUAAAAUAAAUGUUAAAGAAAAAAAGAAGGUAGAUUUACUUUUCGAGCAUAAGUGCCAUCUGUGAAUCUACAUUAUUAACAUAACAUCUGUGAAUCUCCAUUAUUAACAUAUUCUAGAAUAAAUUAAUACAUCAAACAUAUUGCUUGAUAAAAUAUAAUGAUAUAGUAAUUGUUUUCCUGCCAUAUCAAUAUGUUUAUAUUUAUUUGAUUAGAGUUAUACUUAUAAUUAUUAUUAACAUUCCUUUUUAUUGUUAUUUAUUUAUUUAUUAUUGUCGUGUUACAAAAUAAAUAUUUAUUUACAGGAUUUUAAAAUUUAUAUACACUAAUUAUGAGCAUGGAAGUUACAUUGCGCAAAACAAUCUCAUUUUCAGCUAUACUUUCAUGACACACAAAGUGAGGUUGAGAACAAAAUUAACGUAAUGCAAAAUCAAGUUUUGUCAGAAGCAGUUGUACAAAUGCUCAUGAAAAUUUUAGAGAUCAACCCGUAUGCAAAAUUCUUUCGAAGAUUGAAAGAUUAUCCUUCAAUUUCAUGCUCAUUCCGGCGACAGCCAUAGAAUAAAGCAUUACGAUGGAUGUUAUGAUCCAUUGCAAUAUCCACUUCUUUUUCCAAUGGGCGAAAUAGGUUGGCAUCAAAACAUUAGAAAGAUUGAUCCAUCAUCUUUGGUUCGUAACACAAAUUCGGUUUCUACUUCUACUUCAUUAGCAAGAACCAUAACUGCAGGCGAUAUUAUCUCCAAUGAAGAAUAAGGUAUCUCUAUUAACUUUUUAUAAAUUGAUUGAUGAUUAAAUUAGUUAAUUAUCAUAUUUUAAAUUUUUAUAAUGUUUAUAAUUGAUUUUACUAAUUUGAAUUGUAGUAUUAAACUUUUGGACUAAUCUAUUAAUUUUAUUCUUCUAAAGUUAUAUUAUUCCAAUCAUGAGAUUAUAACUCACUAUGAGUAGAGAACAUUCUUUUCAUUCCCACCCAUUAACUGUAGCAUACUAAUCAUAUAAAUAAUAAUAUAAAUUGAUUUUCAGAAUUUUACAAUUACAAAUUGCAAAUAUUUAUGCUCCACCUUAGCUUAAGGCUAUUUACUUUUCUCAUUAUGCAUAUGUCUUAAUGAAAUCCCUACUCAAUCAUAAUCUAUAAAUCCUGCCUAUGAAUAAGCUGAAUCGAUAAAGUGUUAAUUUGUAUUUAAAGUGUUUAGAGGCACAAAAGUCUGGAAAUUGAUAAUGGUUGACAAAGAGGUAAGUCACAAAU